AAUCCUGUGGAAGUUCUACAAGGUCCUGAGCCAAACCACACUCAGGCAUCUGAGACGUCUGACAAAGAAAAGGAAAGUGAAAGUGAAACAGGAAGAAACCCACCUGAAUCAACACGAAGGUCAGAAAGGUUACGACAGCCCCCUGAUCGGUUUCACUACAUUCAGUUGGGCAAACCUUUAAUAUCUUUUGCACAGAGUAUUUUACACAGCUUUAACCAAGCACUAGACACUAUUUAUUAUGACAACCCCCAUAUGAACGAGAGACUAGCUCAUGAAGGGACUCAUGUCGAUUCAAGAGGGGAGGGUGUAACCCAUAUGGUUACUAAGCCCAUAUAUGUUGUUUGAAUGUAGUUCCCAUGCCCCACCACUAGUGGCGAACCAGCCCGUAUUAAUUUUUACUGUCAUUGAGCACGUCAUGCUCACGCCCAUAUACCGAGUCAUGCUCACUGCGGAUACACCGAUCCGAGAGCAGCACACCUGCUGAGUGAGCUGCCGGACCUAGGAGAGAGUCUGUGAAUGUUGAGAGAAAGAGAGGAGCAGCUACGACCGUGUAAGCCCCUUGUUGGACUCCGAUUGGUUUUAUUUUCUGCCGGAUCAGGGAUUGAUCAGCACAAAUUCUGAACCUUUCGGUUCAGUGGCGAGCCAGGCGAUCGACAGGGACGGAGAACGGGAUCCACUCAGAGGACCACAGACUUCUACUCAUUGCACCCUGACACAGAUAAGAACGUUCACCACAAAAUCUACCCGGGUAGUAGGAGGAACUGAUAGAUAUAUACAUACACCAAACACAGAACUGAACUUUAUUCUUCUGAUACAGACGAAAAGACCACUUUUAUUUGAACUUUGUUUUAUUUAUUUUUUUUAUUUUUAUAAAAGAGCUCUAUUUUGUUUUUGGGGUUUUCCAUUCUAUGUGCUGCGAAAUAAUAUUGUUGGAUGCAAUAAAUGUUCACUGUUCAACUUUCAUUCAAGUCCAACUUUCUGAACCUAGAGAAUGUGGGUUCUUUCUAACAUUGAGGUUAAAAGUGCUACAUAUGGAUGAAGUGACAGAGGUGGUGAGUUUACUCCAGUCCAGCCAACCCAGCUGCUGAAAGCAGAGCAGUUCUGUUCCCAUCAAGUCCAUUAAGAGGAACAGCAAGAGUGAAUAGUGGAGGUGGGAAAAUGCAGAAUAUUACUUCAAACAGAGAGUAGCUGAAUACUUCACACAGAAAAUGAAAGUAUCUGUCAGUGACUAGAAACUAAAGAGAGGAGGAGAAAGUGGGAGCACAGAGAGAAAAGAGCAGAUUUUAUACAAAUCUCACUGGUGACUCGCCACUGACAAAGAAAAUCUCUUGACACUUGUGAGGACAGCGAGUAAGAACUGAGAGUGAUGUGAGAGAAACUUUCAAAUCCAACAGUGAGUCAGCAUGAUUAGUUCAAACUCCUUGAUUCUUGACUUCAGUGUUCACUCAGUGAAAGAUAUGAUUUUCUGGAUAAUACAGGAGUUGGUCGUCUGUAUAAAAACAGUGAAAGUGAAGGUGAUUCUUUAUUUUAACAAAUGUAUUCAGUUAAAGGAAAAAGGUCUUUAAGUUAUUAAGUCAUUGAAAUAACUUCAAAACAACUAUACUUCAUGAGCUUUACCCUUCAGUCAUAUCAAUGAAUAGACACUGGGCACUAGUGUGAAAUAUAGGAUUCAGUAUUUGGCUGAAUACAUU
rnacentral:lncRNA from 15 species